CUAGUUUGGGAACAAAAACUUUAUUUAGUACUAUUUUGGUCUUUUUCUCUUAUAAAUAUAAGAAAUAGAUUUGUAUUUUAUGUCUGUGUAAAUUUUAAUGAAUUCAAUUUGAAUCAUCAACAAACUAAUUUGUGUACCCAAAAGGCCAAAAUAUUUCAGAGUUUCUAUAGAAGGUAAUAUUGUUUACAUUUUUUUUCUCUAGUUUAUAUAUUCUGUAAAAGAUCUAAUAAAUGAGAUCUGAAGCUUUAGCGAUCCGUGCGGCACUCCAAUCGGCAAUCCUUCUUGAUAUAACCAGGAUCAAUAUUAACUUCGACAACCAAACACUCAUCAGAGUCAUCAAUAGCGAGAUAAAAGACAAUGAAAUCUGCAGUGUUGCUCAGGACAUCAAGAUUAUCUCUGCUCUCUUCGUUUCUAUCUCUUUCAAUUUCGUUCUUAGGGCGGAAAACGCUAGAGCUGAUUCUCUAGCAAAAGCUUCCGUUAGGGCUUUUUGUCUUAUUUAUAAUGGGUCUGUUUUGGGUUAAAACUCUACUUUUGAAUUAAAAUUCCGACCGUUGACAAAAAAAAAGAUCUAUUUCAGACUUUUUAAUCUAUCUAGUGUUGUUGUAUAUCUGUGUGAAGGAUGUCUGAAAUCAUGUGAUUUUUGAUGUCACAAGAAACAACGUUUAUCUUUUGCAACUAUUGCUGUAAAAAAUGUUUGUGCUACUGUCUGGAACAUCUAAUAACAUAAAGUACAACUCAAUUCUCUUCUCCUUGCGCCAGCACAUAAAAUUAGGUAAGAAGGUGUUGAGUGUUGACACCUGUCCCAUUUACAAAACGCCGCGCAUAACUUAUUAACCGUGUCAUUGUUUUCUUUGUUGGGCCGUCGAAUUGAUUUAUAGGUUUGCUUUUCGUUAUUUGUAUAGCCCAUCUCAGAAUUAUAGGAUUAUGCGUCUUCUUCUCGAGUGCCGACUACGACGAUGGAGUUUCGUGAGGUUGUAUGAUACGAAUAUUCGUUGAGGAGUCUUUGGGUUGGGAUUCAUUUGCGUCGUUUCAUUUCAUAUUCUUCCCCUACGAAACGUUAUAGGACUAAUCGCAUUCAUAUCGACGAUCCUUCAUGUGUUAAGCGAAUUGAGAAUUCUGAUUAACGAAAUUAGACUGUUUCUGUGGAAUCAAUAGUCGAGUGAGGAUUUUCGGGAAUGGGUGCGACGGAGGUUGUUACAGACAAAGAAUUUGAAGGCUGAAACGGGACUAUAGAAUAGACUUUCACUUUCUAAGACUCGCUUGACAAUUUUACUAAUUAAAUCUCCCCUAUGAUUUUUGCAGGAAUGGUGUUUGUGCCACCACUAGAGUCUUUGCAGAACCAAAUUCAUGUUUUAUUCAUAUUGUUUCUGUUUUGUGUCUUUCAAAAAAAUUAGGUUCACCCAUUACUAAAACACAAUAUGUUUUCACUUUGCAUAUUUCCUUAAGAUUUUGCAGGAGAGGUAUCUUUUCCAAGUAAAGGAAAGACACAAUACUAUCUCCAUCUAAACGUUUGCUUUGUUUUUUUAUAGGCCACUGACCAUGUUAUAAUUAUUUUGGUCCUCAUGAUUUGUGACUUACCAAUUAGGCUUACCCAUUAUGAGAGCAAAGUGUUUGCUUUUUACAUAUCUGUAAAAGAUUUUGCUGGAAAGGCAUCUUAAAGAAAAGACUAGAGACCAUGUUAACAUUUAAACGUUUGCUUUGUUCUUUAAGGUCAGCCCAUGUUAUAUUUACUUCAGUUUCGUGCUUAAAAAAUCUGCAAAGGGUUGACGAUGAUGGUUUACGUCUCUGUCAGUCCCCAGAACACUUAGCUUUAUAUAGCUACACGGAUGUUGGUGAUGGCCUUGAGUUCCACCACUUCGACCAUUGCUCCCUGGACAUCCUUGAAGAGUGCAGUUACUUGACUAAUACGUAAGUAAAAUUUAUAUUGGUCAUAACUGAUUUGUAUGUCAAAGACACCAAAUUGAUAAAUAAGCCUAGGUUCUUAAGGCUCUAUCUAAGAACUUGCACUGUUCUCAAGCAUACGGUUUGGUUGCUGAGGUUAACUACAAGACCAUCUCGAAUCAAGCAGGAAUCAGCAUAAAUUCUGUUAAAAGCAAAGGAAGAACUGUUGAAGAAACAAGGGAAAGAUUAAAAACAAAAAACUAAAGCCGUGAAGAUGAUGACGGAAAUGGAAUUUGAAUCAAAUGACAAUCAUUGUGACAUCGGAUAAGUUGUUGGCGUGAGCCAUUCCUACAACCAAAGCGACUAAUUCCUAUAACCCCCAAAGAAUAUGAAAAUUACCCCGGUGAAGCAUUGAAGCUAGCUCUGCUUCAAUCAGGUGCUGCGUCGACAGCCUUUCCCUCUGUUGUUAAUCAUGGACAUACAUAGAAUAUGGUAGAAGCAGUUUAAUUUGCUGGAUUGCCGUUGAAGAGAGUAGAAGUUUGUAUGGGGGAAUGUUGAGGUCCAAAACGUUUAGUCUUGAAAGGAGACUAACGAUGUGAUGGUCCAUUGUUCCAUAUCUAGAACUUAAAAAAAAACUAUAAUUUAUAGCUACACAAUGCAUA